rnacentral:lncRNA from 1 species
ACCAACAGUGAUGUUAGAAAAAGGGGAAAUUACCUAGCAGUGAUGUUAGAAAAAGGGGAAAUUACCAACAGUGAUGUUAGAAAAAGGGGAAAUUACCUAGCACUAGAAGGAAAAACUAAUGAUGUUAGAAAAAAAAUAUCUAAAGUAUUUAAUUAAAGAAUUAAGUACUUGGUUUCUACAUUUUUUUUUGUUAGUUCAGGCUGUCAAAGAGAGCAACAGUACACUCACCAGAGCCAUGGCUUCACAGGUCCAAUCACUCACUUUCUCAAUUCAAAGAAUCUAAAUAAAAAAUAAAAAUCAAAAGCAAUCACAGAAACUAAACCACUAUAAAUCAAAAAAAUAUAACUCGAGUUACACAUUUCAUGGGAGUAACUUUGAAAUAAA